rnacentral:misc_RNA from 1 species
GGAUAAGCUAUCAUCAUCUCUUCUUUGGCUUUAGUUAUCAAGUUAUCAAAUUGAAUCAGAUAUUUCCUAGUGCUAUAAUAAAACUAUAGCUACUUGCCUACUUAUUCAUAAUAAAGCACAAUAGUAUUGCAGCAAAUCAAGGUCACAGAGAGUGGUUACAUACUUGAAUUGCAAAAGUAACAUGUCCCCUCCUCUCAUGCAGACAUCCAUACGGACACAUAUACACAAAUAGAGAGAAAUAUACAUACAUCCAUCAUCUCAUGAAUCGGCAAGCUUAACAAGAAACAAGGCAUCCCCAGAAGGAAAGAUAUAUAAAGCAGUAGCUGUUCUGAGAGAAUACCAAUUGU